UCUAACGGUGGAUGACAGACAGGACAGACCUCUGAUUUAUUCUGCAUUUACUUUACCUUCUGUUCCAGUUUUAAGGUACCCCUGUCCCUCAGAACGUUGUCAGGUACCCCUGUCCCUCAGAACGUUGUCAGGUACCCCUGUCCCUCAGAACGUUGUCAGGUACCCCUGUCCCUCAGAACGUUGUCAGGUACCCCUGUCCCUCAGAACGUUGUCAGGUACCCCUGUCCCUCAGAACGUUGUCAGGUACCCCUGUCCCUCAGAACGUUGUCAGGUUGUCCUGAACGUCAGGGCCUAAAUUCAUGGUGUUUCAGUAGGAGUGCUGGUGGAGGUUGUAAUGAAGAAGAGGUUUGGACUGCUUCUAGAUCAGAUAUGCUUUCUGAACUCAGUCCCCUCUACCCUCAGGCCCCUCACAGAAUAGGACCUGCUCUGAACAAGGUUCUCUACCAUCAGUCCCCUCAGACAGAAUAGGACCUGCCCUGAACAAGGUUCUCUACCCUCAGUCCCCUCAGACAGAAUAGGACCUGCCCUGAACAAGGUUCUCUACCCUCAGACAGAAUAGGACCUGCCCUGAACAAGGUUCUCUACCCUCAGACAGAAUAGGACCUGCCCUGAACAAGGUUCUCUACCCUCAGACAGAAUAGGACCUGCCCUGAACAAGGUUCUCUACCCUCAGACAGAAUAGGACCUGCCCUGAACAAGGUUCUCUACCCUCAGACAGAAUAGGACCUGCCCAGAACAAGGUUCUCUACCCUCAGACAGAAUAGGACCUGCCCUGAACAAGGUUCUCUACCCUCAGACAGAAUAGGACCUGCCCUGAACAAGGUUCUCUACCCUCAGUCCCCUCAGACAGAAUAGGACCUGCCCUGAACAAGGUUCUCUACCCUCAGACAGAAUAGGACCUGCCCUGAACAAGAUUCUCUACCCUCAGUCCCCUCAGACAGAAUAGGACCUGCCCUGAACAAGGUUCUCUACCCUCAGUCCCCUCAGACAGAAUAGGACCUACCCUGAACAAGGUUCUCUACCCUCAGACAGAAUAGGACCUACCCUGAACAAGGUUCUCUACCCUCAGACAGACUAGGACCUGCCCUGAACAAGGUUCUCUACCCUCAGACAGAAUAGGACCUGCCCUGAACACGGUUCUCUACCCUCAGACAGACUAGGACCUGCCCUGAACAAGGUUCUCUACCCUCAGACAGAAUAGGACCUGCCCUGAACACCGUUCUCUACCCUCAGACAGAAUAGGACCUGCCCUGAACAAGGUUCUCUACCCUCAGACAGACUAGGGCCUGCCCUGAACAAGGUUCUCUACCCUCAGACAGACUAGGGCCUGCCCUGAACAAGGUUCUCUACCCUCAGACAGAAUAGGACCUGCCCUGAACAAGGUUCUCUACCCUCAGUCCCCUCAGACAGAAUAGGACCUACCCUGAACAAGGUUCUCUACCCUCAGACAGAAUAGGACCUACCCUGAACAAGGUUCUCUACCCUCAGACAGAAUAGGACCUGCCCUGAACAAGGUUCUCUACCCUCAGACAGAAUAGGACCUGCCCUGAACAAGGUUCUCUACCCUCAGACAGAAUAGGACCUGCCCUGAACAAGGUUCUCUACCCUCAGACAGAAUAGGACCUGCCCUGAACAAGGUUCUCUACCCUCAGACAGAAUAGGACCUGCCCUGAACAAGGUUCUCUACCCUCAGUCCCCUCAGACAGAAUAGGACCUGCCCUGAACAAGGUUCUCUACCCUCAGUCCCCUCAGACAGAAUAGGACCUACCCUGAACAAGGUUCUCUACCCUCAGACAGAAUAGGACCUACCCUGAACAAGGUUCUCUACCCUCAGACAGAAUAGGACCUACCCUGAACAAGGUUCUCUACCCUCAGACAGAAUAGGACCUGCCCUGAACAAGGUUCUCUACCCUCAGACAGAAUAGGACCUACCCUGAACAAGGUUCUCUACCCUCAGUCCCCUCAGACAGAAUAGGACCUGCCCUGAACAAGGUUAUUUUUGUGACUGAGUGAAGUCAUCCACUCUGUCCUCAACAGGAGAACUCUGGACCAGACUGACCAGCGAAGUGUUGACCCCCGGUGGUCGUUACGACAACGUCACUUCCAGAAGGAAUUAACGACUUUUAAUAGUGGAUCAAAAUGUAAAUAUUACGUUUUUUAUUUUCAAGAAGGAAUAAUAUGUGGGGAUGUAAAUAAAUGAGUUUGAUGUUUGUUGUUGUUUUGAACAUAUGUGUAAUAUUAAAGGUUAUAGUCGUCUUUAAAGAGCAGCAUGAUCCAUGUAUGAACUGACUAUAACCAGACAACAGCAUUUUAUACCCAACUGUUAGUCACAAUUCAGCUCGGAUCAAUGAGGAAAUGUGUUUGGUAAUGCUAACCUGCCUGUUAAAUAUAUACUGAACAAACAUGUUUGGUAAUGCUGACCUGCCUGUUAAAUAUAUACUGAACAAACAUAUCAAUGAGGAAAUGUGUUUGGUAAUGCUAACCUGCCUGUUAAAUAUAUACUGAACAAACAUGGCAAUGAUUUACACUCCGUUCAUUUAAUGAAAUAAAUUCAUUCGGUCGUAA